rnacentral:rRNA from 1 species
AGCGAACGCUGGCGGCAGGCUUAACACAUGCAAGUCGAACGGGCGUAGCAAUACGUCAGUGGCAGACGGGUGAGUAACGCGUGGGAACGUACCUUUUGGCUCGGAACAACCCAGGGAAACUUGGGCUAAUACCGGAUAAGCCCUUACGGGGAAAGAUUUAUCGCCAAAGAUCGGCCCGCGUCUGAUUAGCUAGUUGGUGAGGUAACGGCUCACCAAGGCGACGAUCAGUAGCUGGUCUGAGAGGAUGGCCAGCCACAUUGGGACUGAGACACGGCCCAAACUCCUACGGAGGCAGCAGUGGGGAAUCUUGCGCAAUGGGCGAAAGCCUGACGCAGCCAUGCCGCGUGGAUGAUGAAGGUCUUAGGAUUGU